rnacentral:rRNA from 1 species
ACUCCUACGGGAGGCAGCAGCAGGGAAUUUUGCGCAAUGGGCGAAAGCCUGACGCAGCAACGCCGCGUGGGGGAUGAAGGCUCUCGGGUCGUAAACCCCUUUUGCCGGGGAAGAUAAUGACGGUACCCGGCGAAUAAGCCGCGGCUAACUACGUGCCAGCAGCCGCGGUAAUACGAGGGGGGCAAGCGUUGUUCGGAUUUAUUGGGCGUAAAGGGUGCGUAGGCGGUUUGAUAAGUCUGAUGUGAAAUCUAUGGGCUCAACCCAUAGUCUGCAUUAGAAACUGUCGGGCUUGAGUAUGGGAGAGGUGAGUGGAAUUUCCGGUGUAGCGGUGAAAUGCGUAGAGAUC